rnacentral:rRNA from 1 species
UACGUAGGGGGCUAGCGUUGUCCGGAAUCAUUGGGCGUAAAGAGCGUGUAGGCGGCCAGGUAGGUCUGGUGUGAAAACUCGAGGCUUAACCUCGAGAUGUCAUCGGAAACCAUCUGGCUAGAGUCCGGAAGAGGAGAGUGGAAUUCCUGGUGUAGCGGUGAAAUGCGUAGAUAUCAGGAAGAACACCCGUGGCGAAGGCGGCUCUCUGGUACGUGACUGACGCUGAGUCGGCGAAAGCGUGGGGAGCGAACAGG